rnacentral:rRNA from 1 species
UACGUAGGGUGCAAGCGUUAAUCGGAAUCACUGGGCGUAAAGGGUGCGUAGGCGGGUCUUUAAGUCAGGGGUGAAAUCCUGGAGCUCAACUCCAGAACUGCCUUUGAUACUGAGGAUCUUGAGUUCGGGAGAGGUGAGUGGAACUGCGAGUGUAGAGGUGAAAUUCGUAGAUAUUCGCAAGAACACCAGUGGCGAAGGCGGCUCACUGGCCCGGUACUGACGCUGAGGCACGAAAGCGUGGGGAGCAAACAGG